AGUAGAUCUAUGGGCUUAAAAUUU
rnacentral:siRNA from 1 species